rnacentral:rRNA from 1 species
CCUACGGGUGGCAGCAGUGGGGAAUAUUGCACAAUGGGCGCAAGCCUGAUGCAGCGACGCCGCGUGGGGGAUGACGGCCUUCGGGUUGUAAACCUCUUUCAGUAUCGGCGAAGCUCCCGGGUUUUCUUGGGGGUGACGGUAGGUACAGAAGAAGCACCGGCCAACUACGUGCCAGCAGCCGCGGUAAUACGUAGGGUGCGAGCGUUGUCCGGAAUUACUGGGCGUAAAGAGCUCGUAGGUGGUUUGUCGUGAAAACUCACAGCUCAACUGUGGGCGUGCGGGCGAUACGGGCAGACUGGAGUACUGUAGGGGAGACUGGAAUUCCUGGUGUAGCGGUGGAAUGCGCAGAUAUCAGGAGGAACACCGGUGGCGAAGGCGGGUCUCUGGGCAGUAACUGACGCUGAGGAGCGAAAGCGUGGGGAGCGAACAGGAUUAGAUACCCUUGUAGUC